GUUGUAUGAAAAUUUUGUCUGGUUAAUAAUUGUCAACAGAAUAUUUUUUAUGUAUUCCCUAUUUUUGUUUGUUUACAAAUAUUAAUUGUUGAUGAAUGGAAAUGUAAACAAACACGCCAGUUGUGUUGUGAAUCCGGAGCUUAGAGAUACAGUUUUUGAAUUGAACUGAACUUGAAGGAGUGGUUUGGAGCCUGUUCUUUAAUUGCAUCUUUAUUGCAAGUUCAUCUCUUCAUCUGUGGUUCUGCCCGGAAAAUUCGGAAGAGUCUUGCGAAUCUAUCAGUGCCACAGAGCUCUCUAUUUUCAAGAGUGGAACUUACAUAUUUGUAUUUGAAGUAAUAAAUUAUUGUUCAGUUA